AAACCCAUAGGUUUGAUCCCAGCCAUUCUAUUAGUUUUUAAUAAAAUUACACAUGCAAGUAUCUGCAUCCCAAUGAAAUGCCCUCUGAAUCAUGAAAGAUUAAAAGGAGCUGGUAUCAAGUACACAAAGCUACUUAAUAAUGCCUUGUUUAGCCACACUCCUAUGGGAGACAACAGUGAUAAAAAUUAAGCCAUAAACAAAAGUUUGACUAAGUUACGUUAUUUAGGGUUGGUAAAUUUCAUGCCAGCCACUGCGGUCAUACGAUUAACCCAAACUAAUAGAAACUCAGCCCAAAGAGCAUUCAAGAACGAUAAAAAAUAGAGUUAAGUUUUAGCUAAGCUGUAAAAAGCAACAGCCAAAAUAAAAAUGAGCCAUGAAAGUGACCCUAACUGUCUCUGAAUGCACGAUAGCUAAGGUCCAUACUGGGAUUAGAUACCCCACUAUGCUUAGCCUUAAACCCAAAUAAUUCUAGCAAUAUCACUUGCCAGGGCACUACUGGCAAUAGCUUAAAACUCAAAGGACUUGGUGGUGCUUCACUCAAUUGGGUGAUCAGGGAAGGCUCCACU
rnacentral:ncRNA from 1 species